rnacentral:rRNA from 1 species
GAGCGCCCCGCAAGGGGAGCGGCGCACGGGAGAGUAACGCGUGGGAACCUACCUUUUGGUUCGGAAUAACACCGGGAAACUGGUGCUAAUACCGGAUAAGCCCUUCGGGGGAAAGAUUUAUUGCCGAAAGAUGGGCCCGCGUUGGAUUAGCUAGUUGGUGAGGUAACGGCCCACCAAGGCUACGAUCCAUAGCUGGUCUGAGAGGAUGAUCAGCCUCACUGGGACUGAGACACGGCCCAGACUCCUACGGGAGGCAGCAGUAGGGAAUAUUGGACAAUGGGGGCAACCCUGAUCCAGCCAUGCCGCGUGAAUGAUGAAGGCCUUCGGGUUGUAAAGUUAUUUUGGUGGGGACGAUGAUGACGGUACCCACAGAAUAAGCUCCGGCUAACUUAGUG